rnacentral:rRNA from 1 species
GUUGAUAAGGUUAAGUGAAUAAGGGCGCACGGUGGAUGCCUUGGCACUAGGAGCCGAUGAAGGACGGGACUAACACCGAUAUGCUUUGGGGAGCUGUAAGUAAGCUAUGAUCCAGAGAUUUCCGAAUGGGGGAACCCAAUAUCUUUUAUAGGAUAUUACUUUUCAGUGAAUACAUAGCUGAUUAGAGGUAGACGCAGAGAACUGAAACAUCUUAGUACCUGCAGGAAGAGAAAGAAAAUUCGAUUCCCUGAGUAGCGGCGAGCGAAACGGGAAGAGCCCAAACCAACAAGCUUGCUUGUUGGGGUUGUAGGACUCCAAUAUGGUAGUCUGUUAGUAUAGUUGAAGGAUUUGGAAAAUUCCGCUAAAGAGGGUGAAAGCCCCGUAGACGAAAUGCUGACAACACCUAGGAGGAUCCUGAGUACGGCGGAACACGAGAAAUUCCGUCGGAAUCCGCGGGGACCAUCCCGCAAGGCUAAAUACUCCCUAGUGACCGAUAGUGAACCAGUACCGUGAGGGAAAGGUGAAAAGCACCCCGGAAGGGGAGUGAAAUAGAUCCUGAAACCGUGUGCCUACAACAAGUCAAAGCUCGUUAAUGAGUGAUGGCGUGCCUUUUGUAGAAUGAACCGGCGAGUUACGAUUGCAUGCGAGGUUAAGUCGAAGAGACGGAGCCGCAGCGAAAGCGAGUCUGAAUAGGGCGAAUGAGUAUGUAGUCGUAGACCCGAAACCAUGUGAUCUACCCAUGUCCAGGUUGAAGGUGCGGUAAAACGCACUGGAGGACCGAACCCACGUACGUUGAAAAGUGCGGGGAUGAGGUGUGGGUAGCGGAGAAAUUCCAAACGAACUUGGAGAUAGCUGGUUCUCUCCGAAAUAGCUUUAGGGCUAGCCUCGGAAUUGAGAAUGAUGGAGGUAGAGCACUGUUUGGACUAGGGGCCCAUCUCGGGUUACCGAAUUCAGAUAAACUCCGAAUGCCAUUCAUUUAUAUCCGGGAGUCAGACUGCGAGUGAUAAGAUCCGUAGUCGAAAGGGAAACAGCCCAGACCACCAGCUAAGGUCCCAAAAUAUAUGUUAAGUGGAAAAGGAUGUGGGGUUGCACAGACAACUAGGAUGUUGGCUUAGAAGCAGCCACCAUUUAAAGAGUGCGUAAUAGCUCACUAGUCGAGUGACCCUGCGCCGAAAAUGUACCGGGGCUAAACAUAUUACCGAAGCUGUGGACUACACCAUUAGGUGUAGUGGUAGGAGAGCGUUCUAAGGGCGUUGAAGGUCGAUCGUGAGGACGGCUGGAGCGCUUAGAAGUGAGAAUGCCGGUAUGAGUAGCGAAAGACAGGUGAGAAUCCUGUCCACCGUAUGACUAAGGUUUCCUGGGGAAGGCUCGUCCGCCCAGGGUUAGUCGGGACCUAAGCCGAGGCCGAUAGGCGUAGGCGAUGGACAACAGGUUGAUAUUCCUGUACCAGUUGUUUUUGUUUGAGCAAUGGAGGGACGCAGUAGGCUAAGGAAUGCAUGCGAUUGGAAGUGCAUGUCCAAGCAAUGAGUCUUGAGUAGAGUUAAAUGCUUUACUCUUUAAGGACAAGUUGUGACGGGGAGCGAAAUAAUAGUAGCGAAGUUCCUGAUGUCACACUGCCAAGAAAAGCUUCUAGUGAGAAAACAACUGCCCGUACCGUAAACCGACACAGGUAGUCGAGGAGAGUAUCCUAAGGUGAGCGAGCGAACUCUCGUUAAGGAACUCGGCAAAAUGACCCCGUAACUUCGGGAGAAGGGGUGCUGACUUCGGUCAGCCGCAGUGAAUAGGCCCAAGCGACUGUUUAUCAAAAACACAGGUCUCUGCAAAAUCGUAAGAUGAAGUAUAGGGGCUGACGCCUGCCCGGUGCUGGAAGGUUAAGAGGAUGGGUUAGCUUCGGCGAAGCUCAGAAUUGAAGCCCCAGUAAACGGCGGCCGUAACUAUAACGGUCCUAAGGUAGCGAAAUUCCUUGUCGGGUAAGUUCCGACCCGCACGAAAGGCGUAACGAUUUGGGCACUGUCUCAACGAGAGACUCGGUGAAAUUUUAGUACCUGUGAAGAUGCAGGUUACCCGCGACAGGACGGAAAGACCCCAUGGAGCUUUACUGUAGUUUGAUAUUGAGUGUUUGUACCACAUGUACAGGAUAGGUAGGAGCCGAUGAGACCGGAACGCUAGUUUCGGAGGAGGCGCUGGUGGGAUACUACCCUUGUGUUAUGAACCCUCUAACCCGCACCACUAAUCGUGGUGGGAGACAGUGUCAGAUGGGCAGUUUGACUGGGGCGGUCGCCUCCUAAAAGGUAACGGAGGCGCCCAAAGGUUCCCUCAGAAUGGUUGGAAAUCAUUCGAAGAGUGUAAAGGCAGAAGGGAGCUUGACUGCGAGACCUACAAGUCGAGCAGGGACGAAAGUCGGGCUUAGUGAUCCGGUGGUUCCGCAUGGAAGGGCCAUCGCUCAACGGAUAAAAGCUACCC